ACCCCGGAAGGGGAGUGAAAUAGAACCUGAAACCGUGUGCUUACAAGUAGUCAGAGCCCGUUAAUGGGUGAUGGCGUGCCUUUUGUAGAAUGAACCGGCGAGUUACGAUUUGAUGCAAGGUUAAGCAGUAAAUGUGGAGCCGUAGCGAAAGCGAGUCUGAAUAGGGCGUUUAGUAUUUGGUCGUAGACCCGAAACCAGGUGAUCUACCCUUGGUCAGGUUGAAGUUCAGGUAACACUGAAUGGAGGACCGAACCGACUUACGUUGAAAAGUGAGCGGAUGAACUGAGGGUAGCGGAGAAAUUCCAAUCGAACCUGGAGAUAGCUGGUUCUCUCCGAAAUAGCUUUAGGGCUAGCCUCAAGUGAUGAUUAUUGGAGGUAGAGCACUGUUUGGACGAGGGGCCCCUCUCGGGUUACCGAAUUCAGACAAACUCCGAAUGCCAAUUAAUUUAACUUGGGAGUCAGAACAUGGGUGAUAAGGUCCGUGUUCGAAAGGGAAACAGCCCAGACCACCAGCUAAGGUCCCAAAAUAUAUGUUAAGUGGAAAAGGAUGUGGCGUUGCCCAGACAACUAGGAUGUUGGCUUAGAAGCAGCCAUCAUUUAAAGAGUGCG
rnacentral:rRNA from 1 species